AAAAGAUGUGAGAAACUGAAGUAGAGACCACUAAAGAAUAGCUAGCUGCCCCAUCAGAGGGGGAACACCUAGAGCAUUAGGACAUGAGUCAUCAUGGAACCCAAGAAAAGAGUAUUUGAAGAGUGGUCAAGGGUGCUCAAGAUGAUCUUUCAAGUAAGAGAAGUGAUGUUUUGCUGCCACAGAAACCAGAAUGUAAAUAUAAGAUUCAAGGAAUAACUAAAGGAAAAGUCCAAGAAACAGAGACCAUUACAUGAAACUACAACAUAUCUAAAUGAAGAGAACAAAAGAUCACAAGGUUCCCAACUGAUACAUCUACAAACCAACUCUUGCACCUAAGACUUGUGAAUGAUACCCCUAUUCCCAAUUGUUGUCAGCAUCAAUACUCCAGAAAGAAAAGUAAAGAUGCCCUCAGCCUGCCUCAGUUAUUGAAACCAGGAACUCGCACAUGUUUGGCAAGUACCACACCACUGAGCUACAUCUUAUAGAUUAUAAAUCUGUUAAUGCAGAAGAAAAGAACCGAGUUGUACUGUCAAUAAAGGAUAUGUGUUAGAAAAUGGUUUCUUAACAAAACAAUAUGGUAUUGUAAUCACGAAUGCUCAUAUUUAGUUUAUGAGGAGUGCCCUUUUAUGCUUGAUACUGCCUCUGUACUUGUAAUCUUGCUGAGAGAAUCUCAUAUCCUUACCAACCACGUGAUAAUAAUGUGAGAACCAACCCUAACUCACUCAUCUAAAAUCAAAUGUGAUAGAAAUAAUCGUGGAGUUUUAAAUAACUUGAACUUAUAUUUGGCCAUGCAUACAAUAACAACAACAAAAUAUAUAACCACUUCAAAAUCUGGAGAUCUUUGUGGGAAAAUUGCAUUCUAGUCUCAUGAUGUGAAUUAUGCACAUAUUUGCUUGUGUUAGGAGAUUUGCAUGGGUGCUUGAACAAAUGCAAUCUCCAGUAUUGGAGCAUCUCAAUAGCAAUAAUUUGUCAGAUACCACAGGCAUGUGAAUACUAUGAUCACCCAAGCAAGAAGCAAAACAACAGAGCUGUGUUCACAAGGAAAGCAAGGCACUGUUAAUAUCAAGAUUAAAUGAUGAAAGGCAGUAUUCCAGAAGAACAAAUGAAGCAAAGUAAUUAUUUAACAUGUAAAUUAAAGAAGCUUGAUAAACUACUGAAGGUGGAAGACACUUGGAGGAGACUCUGCCCAGACGGAUGCACUUAUUCAUCGGUUCACCAACUGCUUGACUGCAGACAGGUUGUUAGCUUCUUAGAACUGCAUUCCACUUGUCUUUAAAAUUAACGAGUAAGACUGGCAAACAUCAGUGACUUUGAUGUUAUUAAAGUUUAUGUGUUUGGGGUUGGAAAA